UAAGGGCGCACGGUGGAUGCCUUGGCACUAGAAGCCGAUGAAGGACGUUACUAACGACGAUAUGCUUUGGGGAGCUGUAAGUAAGCUUUGAUCCAGAGAUUUCCGAAUGGGGAAACCCAGCAUGAGUUAUGUCAUGUUAUCGAUAUGUGAAUACAUAGCAUAUCAGAAGGCACACCCGGAGAACUGAAACAUCUUAGUACCCGGAGGAAGAGAAAGAAAAUUCGAUUCCCUUAGUAGCGGCGAGCGAAACGGGAAGAGCCCAAACCAACAAGCUUGCUUGUUGGGGUUGUAGGACACUCUAUACGGAGUUACAAAGGACGACAUUAGACGAAUCAUCUGGAAAGAUGAAUCAAAGAAGGUAAUAAUCCUGUAGUCGAAAAUGUUGUCUCUCUUGAGUGGAUCCUGAGUACGACGGAGCACGUGAAAUUCCGUCGGAAUCUGGGAGGACCAUCUCCUAAGGCUAAAUACUCUCUAGUGACCGAUAGUGAACCAGUACCGUGAGGGAAAGGUGAAAAGCACCCCGGAAGGGGAGUGAAAUAGAACCUGAAACCGUGUGCUUACAAGUAGUCAGAGCCCGUUAAUGGGUGAUGGCGUGCCUUUUGUAGAAUGAACCGGCGAGUUACGAUUUGAUGCAAGGUUAAGCAGUAAAUGUGGAGCCGUAGCGAAAGCGAGUCUGAAUAGGGCGUUUAGUAUUUGGUCGUAGACCCGAAACCAGGUGAUCUACCCUUGGUCAGGUUGAAGUUCAGGUAACACUGAAUGGAGGACCGAACCGACUUACGUUGAAAAGUGAGCGGAUGAACUGAGGGUAGCGGAGAAAUUCCAAUCGAACCUGGAGAUAGCUGGUUCUCUCCGAAAUAGCUUUAGGGCUAGCCUCAAGUGAUGAUUAUUGGAGGUAGAGCACUGUUUGGACGAGGGGCCCCUCUCGGGUUACCGAAUUCAGACAAACUCCGAAUGCCAAUUAAUUUAACUUGGGAGUCAGAACAUGGGUGAUAAGGUCCGUGUUCGAAAGGGAAACAGCCCAGACCACCAGCUAAGGUCCCAAAAUAUAUGUUAAGUGGAAAAGGAUGUGGCGUUGCCCAGACAACUAGGAUGUUGGCUUAGAAGCAGCCAUCAUUUAAAGAGUGCGUAAUAGCUCACUAGUCGAGUGACACUGCGCCGAAAAUGUACCGGGGCUAAACAUAUUACCGAAGCUGUGGAUUGUCCUUUGGACAAUGGUAGGAGAGCGUUCUAAGGGCGUUGAAGCAUGAUCGUAAGGACAUGUGGAGCGCUUAGAAGUGAGAAUGCCGGUGUGAGUAGCGAAAGACGGGUGAGAAUCCCGUCCACCGAUUGACUAAGGUUUCCAGAGGAAGGCUCGUCCGCUCUGGGUUAGUCGGGUCCUAAGCUGAGGCCGACAGGCGUAGGCGAUGGAUAACAGGUUGAUAUUCCUGUACCACCUAUAAUCGUUUUAAUCGAUGGGGGGACGCAGUAGGAUAGGCGAAGCGUGCGAUUGGAUUGCACGUCUAAGCAGUAAGGCUGAGUAUUAGGCAAAUCCGGUACUCGUUAAGGCUGAGCUGUGAUGGGGAGGAGACAUUGUGUCUUCGAGUCGUUGAUUUCACACUGCCGAGAAAAGCCUCUAGAUAGAAAAUAGGUGCCCGUACCGCAAACCGACACAGGUAGUCAAGAUGAGAAUUCUAAGGUGAGCGAGCGAACUCUCGUUAAGGAACUCGGCAAAAUGACCCCGUAACUUCGGGAGAAGGGGUGCUCUUUAGGGUUAACGCCCAGAAGAGCCGCAGUGAAUAGGCCCAAGCGACUGUUUAUCAAAAACACAGGUCUCUGCUAAACCGUAAGGUGAUGUAUAGGGGCUGACGCCUGCCCGGUGCUGGAAGGUUAAGAGGAGUGGUUAGCUUCUGCGAAGCUACGAAUCGAAGCCCCAGUAAACGGCGGCCGUAACUAUAACGGUC
rnacentral:rRNA from 1 species